AAAGAACGCGCGUGCCUAAUACAUGCAAGUCGAGCGGACAGAUGGGAGCUUGCUCCCUGAUGUUAGCGGCGGACGGGUGAGUAACACGUGGGUAACCUGCCUGUAAGACUGGGAUAACUCCGGGAAACCGGGGCUAAUACCGGAUGGUUGUUUGAACCGCAUGGUUCAAACAUAAAAGGUGGCUUCGGCUACCACUUACAGAUGGACCCGCGGCGCAUUAGCUAGUUGGUGAGGUAACGGCUCACCAAGGCAACGAUGCGUAGCCGACCUGAGAGGGUGAUCGGCCACACUGGGACUGAGACACGGCCCAGACUCCUACGGGAGGCAGCAGUAGGGAAUCUUCCGCAAUGGACGAAAGUCUGACGGAGCAACGCCGCGUGAGUGAUGAAGGUUUUCGGAUCGUAAAGCUCUGUUGUUAGGGAAGAACAAGUACCGUUCGAAUAGGGCGGUACCUUGACGGUACCUAACCAGAAAGCCACGGCUAACUACGUGCCAGCAGCCGCGGUAAUACGUAGGUGGCAAGCGUUGUCCGGAAUUAUUGGGCGUAAAGGGCUCGCAGGCGGUUUCUUAAGUCUGAUGUGAAAGCCCCCGGCUCAACCGGGGAGGGUCAUUGGAAACUGGGGAACUUGAGUGCAGAAGAGGAGAGUGGAAUUCCACGUGUAGCGGUGAAAUGCGUAGAGAUGUGGAGGAACACCAGUGGCGAAGGCGACUCUCUGGUCUGUAACUGACGCUGAGGAGCGAAAGCGUGGGGAGCGAACAGGAUUAGAUACCCUGGUAGUCCACGCCGUAAACGAUGAGUGCUAAGUGUUAGGGGGUUUCCGCCCCUUAGUGCUGCAGCUAACGCAUUAAGCACUCCGCCUGGGGAGUACGGUCGCAAGACUGAAACUCAAAGGAAUUGACGGGGGCCCGCACAAGCGKUGGAGCAUGUGGUUUAAUUCGAAGCAACGCGAAGAACCUUACCAGGUCUUGACAUCCUCUGACAAUCCUAGAGAUAGGACGUCCCCUUCGGGGGCAGAGUGACAGGUGGUGCAUGGUUGUCGUCAGCUCGUGUCGUGAGAUGUUGGGUUAAGUCCCGCAACGAGCGCAACCCUUGAUCUUAGUUGCCAGCAUUCAGUUGGGCACUCUAAGGUGACUGCCGGUGACAAACCGGAGGAAGGUGGGGAUGACGUCAAAUCAUCAUGCCCCUUAUGACCUGGGCUACACACGUGCUACAAUGGACAGAACAAAGGGCAGCGAAACCGCGAGGUUAAGCCAAUCCCACAAAUCUGUUCUCAGUUCGGAUCGCAGUCUGCAACUCGACUGCGUGAAGCUGGAAUCGCUAGUAAUCGCGGAUCAGCAUGCCGCGGUGAAUACGUUCCCGGGCCUUGUACACACCGCCCGUCACACCACGAGAGUUUGUAACACCCGAAGUCGGUGAGGUAACCUUUUAGGAGCCAGCCGCCGAAGGUGGACAGAUGACCCA
rnacentral:rRNA from 1 species